AUUGAACGCUGGCGGAAUGCUUUACACAUGCAAGUCGAACGGUAGAGGGGGCAACCCCUCGAGAGUGGCGAACGGGUGAGUAAUAUAUCGGAACGUGCCCAGUCGUGGGGGCUAACGUAGCGAAAGGUACGCUAAUACCGCAUACGAUCUAAGGAUGAAAGCGGGGGAUCGCAAGACCUCGCGCGAUUGGAGCGGCCGAUAUCAGAUUAGGUAGUUGGUGGGGUAAAGGCUCACCAAGCCAACGAUCUGUAGCUGGUCUGAGAGGACGACCAGCCACACUGGAACUGAGACACGGUCCAGACUCCUACGGGAGGCAGCAGUGGGGAAUUUUGGACAAUGGACGCAAGUCUGAUCCAGCCAUUCCGCGUGCGGGAUGAAGGCCCUCGGGUUGUAAACUGCUUUUGUACGGAACGAAAAGGUCUCUCUUAAUACGGGGGACUCAUGACGGUACCGUAAGAAUAAGCACCGGCUAACUACGUGCCAGCCGCCGCCGUAA
rnacentral:rRNA from 1 species